rnacentral:rRNA from 1 species
CCUACGGGAGGCAGCAGCAGGGAAUCUUGCACAAUGGGCGAAAGCCUGAUGCAGCGACGCCGCGUGAGGGAUGAAGGUUCUAGGAUCGUAAACCUCUUUUCUUAGGGAAUAGUUUGGAAGGUACCUAAGGAAUAAGUCACGGCUAACUACGUGCCAGCAGCCGCGGUAAUACGUAGGUGGCAAAUGUUGUCCGGAAUCAUUGGGCGUAAAGGGUCCGUAGGUGGCUUGAAAAGUCUUAUGUGAAAUCUCUUGGCUCAACCAAGAAACGCCAUAAGAAACUUUCAUGCUAGAGAUCAUCAGAGGGAGGUAGAAUUCCAGGUGUAGUGGUGAAAUGCGUAGAUAUCUGGAGGAAUACCAAUGGCGAAAGCAGCCUCCUGGGGUGAAUCUGACAUUGAGGGACGAAAGCGUGGGUAGCAAACCGGAUUAGAUACCCGGGUAGUCCAUGCCGUAAACGAUGAAUACUGGGUCUUCGGGGAAUCGACCCCCUGUGGACCGAAGCUAACGCGUUAAGUAUUCCGCCUGGGGAGUACGGUCGCAAGACUAAAACUCAAAGGAAUUGACGGGGGCCCGCACAAGCAGCGGAGCGUGUGGUUUAAUUCGAUGGUAAACGAAGAACCUUACCUAGGUUUGACAUAUAAGUAGUACUGACCCGAAAGGUGAUGGACCCGCAAGGGAGCUUAUACAGGUGCUGCAUGGUUGUCGUCAGCUCGUGCCGUGAGGUGUUGGGUUAAGUCCCGCAACGAGCGCAACCCUCGUGGAUAGUUGUUUUCUUUAUCCAGACUGCUUUUACAAGAGGAAGGUGGGGAUGACGUCAAAUCAUCAUGGCUCUUACACCUAGGGCUACACACACGCUACAAUGGACAGUACAGACGGUUGCUAAGUCGCAAGAUGGAGCCAAUCCGAUAAAGCUGUCCCCAAUUGGGAUUGUAGGCUGAAACUCGCCUGCAUGAACCUGGAGUUGCUAGUAACCGCAGAUCAGAAUGCUGCGGUGAAUACGUUCCCGGGCCUUGUACACA